rnacentral:sRNA from 1 species
UUAAAACCAAAGUCCUCUAUUUAUCCACACAACAGGUAAAAAUAAGGCAAUGACAGUGCAAGCUCCUCCAGGCUGCCCUACUGAUGUGCCCCAGUCCUAAAAAGAGCCAAUUUUGCGAGUGAGAGGGUCUCUGUGGACUUUGAGUCCUUUACACAU